rnacentral:sRNA from 1 species
UUCCUGCUCACGUUGCUGUAGAUCUCCUUGAUUACGAUCUCGAAAGCUGUCCUCACGUUUGUCGAGUCCAGAGCAGAGGUCUCCAUGAAGAACAGCCCUUCAGCUUCAGCAAGUGCUUUGCCUUCCUCUACCGGCACUUCACGGAUAUUAUCCAGAUCACACUUGUUGCCCACCAACAUCUUGGCUACAGAGGAGGAGUGUAUACUGUUGAGUUCUUGGAGCCAGCGACCGACGUUGUCGAAGGUGGAGCGGCGGGAGAUGUCGUAGACGAGGAGGGCGCCGAAGGCGCCGCGGUAGUAGGCGGAGGUGACGGCGCGGAAGCGCUCCUGGCCGGCGGUGUCCCAGAUCUGGGCCUUGACGUCCUUGCCGUUGAUGUCCAUGCUCUGCGUCUGGAACUCGACGCCGAUGGUGGCCUUGGAGUGGAGAUUGAACUCGUUGCGGGCGUAGCGGGACAGCAGGUUGCUCUUCCCCACCGCGCUGUCCCCGAUGAUCACCACCUUGAACAGGUACUCCUCCGUCUCCCCCUCCGACUCGUCCCCCAUCCCUCCCUCCCCUCCGGAAUGCGAAUGAGCUCGAGCUCGCCGCGGCGAGG